UCAUUAACGGAGGGGGCGAACGGGUAAGUAAUACAUCGGAACGUGCCUAGUAGUGGGGGAUACCCUUUUAAAAAGAGUAGCUAAUACCGCAUGAGAUCUACGGAUGAAAUCAAGGGACCUUCGGGCCUUGUGCUACUAGAGCGGCUGAUGGCAGAUUAGGUAUUUGGUGGGGUAAAGGCUUCUCUUGCCUGCGAUCUGUAGCUGGUCUGAGAGGACGACCACCCACACUGGGACUGAAACACGGCCCAGACUCCUACGGGAGGCAGCAGUGGGGAAUUUUGGACAAUGGGCGAAAGCCUGAUCCAGCAAUGCCGCGUGCAGGAUGAAGGCCCUCGGGUUGUAAACUGCUUUUGUACGGAACGAAAAGCCUGGGGCUAAUAUCCCCGGGUCAUGACGGUACCGAAAAAUAAGCACCGGCUAACUACGUGCCAGCAGCCGCGCUAAUAUUUUUUGGGUGGAAGCACCCCCCCCCCCUACUGGGGCGUAAAGCGUGCGCAAGCGGUUUUGUAAGACAGUGGUGAAA
rnacentral:rRNA from 1 species